GUGCCUGCCGCCGCAGUAAUACGUAGGGCGAAAGCGUUGUCCGGAAUUAUUGGUCGUAAAGAGCUCGUAGGCGGCUUGCCACGUCGGAUGUGAAAGCCCGAGGCUUAACCUCGGGUCUGCAUUCGAUACGGGCUAGCUAGAGUGUGGUAGGGGAGAUCGGAAUUCCUGGUGUAGCGGUGAAAUGCGCAGAUAUCAGGAGGAACACCGGUGGCGAAGGCGGAUCUCUGGGCCAUUACUGACGCUGAGGAGCGAAAGCGUGGGGAGCGAACAGGAUUAGAUACCCUUGUAGUCC
rnacentral:rRNA from 1 species